GGGUAUAGCUCAGUUGGUAGAGUACUUGCCUACCAUGCACAAGGGCCUGGGUUCAAUCCCCAGCACCACA
rnacentral:tRNA from 1 species